rnacentral:rRNA from 1 species
ACGUCUACAUUAGAUACCCGCGUAGUCCCAGCCGUAAACUAUGCGCGUUAGGUGUAUCGGUGACCACGAGUUACCGAGGUGCCGAAGGGAAACCGUGAAACGUGCCGCCUGGGAAGUACGGUCGCAAGGCUGAAACUUAAAGGAAUCGGCGGGGAGCACCACAACAGGUGGAGCCUGCGGUUUAAUUGGAUUCAACGCCGGACAUCUCACCGGAUAAGACAGCUGAAUGAUUGUCAAUCUGAAGGUUUUACAUGACUAGCUG